rnacentral:rRNA from 1 species
CGUAGGGCGCGAGCGUUGUCCGGAUUUAUUGGGCGUAAAGAGCUCGUAGGCGGCUUGUUGCGUCGACUGUGAAAACCCGCGGCUUAACCGCGGGCCUGCAGUUGAUACGGGCAGGCUAGAGUUCGGUAGGGGAGACUGGAAUUCCUGGUGUAGCGGUGAAAUGCGCAGAUAUCAGGAGGAACACCGGUGGCGAAGGCGGGUCUCUGGGCCGAUACUGACGCUGAGGAGCGAAAGCGUGGGGAGCGAACAGGAUUAGAUACCCUGGUAGUCCACGCUGUAAACGUUGGGCGCUAGGUGUGGGGGGCCUCUCCGGUUCUCUGUGCCGCAGCUAACGCAUUAAGCGCCCCGCCUGGGGGAGUACGGCCGCAAGGCUA